rnacentral:rRNA from 1 species
GCUUACUGCCAAACCAACCUGGCUAUGCCCGAUCUCGUCUGCUCUUGGAAGCUAAAGCAGGUUUGGGCCUGGUUAGUACAUGGAUGGGAGACUGCCUGGGAAUACCAGGUGCUUUAAACG